rnacentral:rRNA from 1 species
CCUCCGGGAGGCAGCAGUGGGGAAUAUUGGACAAUGGGCGCAAGCCUGGUCCAGCCAUACCGCGUGGGUGAAGAAGGCCUUCGGGUUGUAAAGCCCUUUUGUUGGGAAAGAAAUCCAGCUGGCUAAUACCCGGUUGGGAUGACGGUACCCAAAGAAUAAGCACCGGCUAACUUCGUGCCAGCAGCCGCGGUAAUACGAAGGGUGCAAGCGUUACUCGGAAUUACUGGGCGUAAAGCGUGCGUAGGUGGUCGUUUAAGUCCGUUGUGAAAGCCCUGGGCUCAACCUGGGAACUGCAGUGGAUACUGGGCGACUAGAGUGUGGUAGAGGGUAGCGGAAUUCCUGGUGUAGCAGUGAAAUGCGUAGAGAUCAGGAGGAACAUCCAUGGCGAAGGCAGCUACCUGGACCAACACUGACACUGAGGCACGAAAGCGUGGGGAGCAAACAGGAUUAGAUACCCCUGUAGUC